AGGACAAACGCUGGCGGCGUGCCUAAAACAUGCAAGUCGAACGGACUCUUCGGAGUCAGUGGCGGACGGCUGAGUACCGCGUAGGUGACCUACCCUUGAGUGGGGAAUAACGGUCCGAAAGGAUCGCUAAUACCGCAUACGACCGCCUGAUUUUGGUCAGGUGAGGAAAGCCGCAAGGCGCUCGAGGCGGGGCCUGCGUCCGAUUAGCUAGUUGGUGGGGUAAAGGCCCACCAAGGCGACGAUCGGUAGCUGGUCUAAGAGGAUGAUCAGCCAGACUGGGACUGUGACACGGCCCAGACUCCUACGGGAGGCAGCAGUUAGGAAUCUUGGGCAAUGGGCGAAAGCCUGACCCAGCAACGCCGCGUGGGUGACGAAGGCCCUCGGGUCGUAAAGCCCUUUGCACGGGAGAUGAUGACGGUACCCGGAGAAUAAGUCCCGGCUAACUUCGCGCCAGCAGCCGC
rnacentral:rRNA from 1 species